rnacentral:piRNA from 1 species
GUAUUCGUGUGGAGGGUGUAGGC